AAUAUUGCUGAAUUUGGUGCAUAGGUGGGGUUCGGGCAGACUGUAUGUACACCACUGAGGCCUCGCUGUGAUAUAUGCACAGUUAAUGGUCUUUGCCCGUCUGCAUUUACAGAGACCCCAAGUCCCUCAUCCACAUCGAAGAAGUCUCGCCCCUCAUCCACACUGAAGAAGUCUCGCCUAAACAAGUAUCCAUAGAGAUGUAAUGAUUACCUGAGCCUUUCAUUUCCCGUUGGGGAAGAACUCCAAGGACCAACAUGAAGGUUGUUUUUUGCAAGUC